GGGGGCUGCUCUCAUUUGCUCUUCUCUCAUUUGGGUAGGAUCUUCAUAGUUCAGAAGGCUGUCUUCAUACAGAUUGGCUGGCAGUGAGCUCAUAUAUUUAUGUAAUUUUUUUUGCCUGGCAGCAGCAGAAGAGCACCAUAUAAUCAGCUCCCUCCUGUGCAGUCGAAUGCUGCUGUUGUCGAAGAGCCUUUGUCUUUCUUUGCUGGUCUGGCCACAUUAUGUUGGUUCUGCAGAAAUGUCAAGUCUCUCCAUUGUAUGAAUUAUGCUCUUGGGUAGGGCUGACGUCAGGAGGCAGUGGCUGAGCCUGGGUCUGCCUGCUGCUGAGGAUAUGUGCUGAAUUCACCUACAACAGCAGCGGAUUAACAGCAAGGGCUUGUCCUGCUGCUGACACAUGCAGUUACAUUCAUUGACUUGCAGGGGCUGAAGGACUGAACAGGAGGUUAGAGAGCAUUGAAAACAUACCAAAGCCACAGUGACAGGAAUCGUUGAGGUUACAUCUGUGAAGCUACAUAUGGAAAUGGACAAAUAAAAAGCCAAACAAGCUGGUGAUUUAUAAAACAAACAAUGUUUACAGCACUCCUUUCCAUUUUACUCUCCUUCUGCUAUUGGAGUUGAGAUCAUGUCUGUUCAUGUUGUAGCCUUUGGAAAUGAGAGAGAUGGAUUUUCUGAAGACAAUCAGCAAUCAAGUCUGAUCUGGACCUAUCUUGGGAGAAGUGCUCUCAUUUCAGAGACUGAAAGCAGUUUGCUGCUGAACUCUGCCAACCACAUUGGAAGCCCUUUGUUUACUGAAUAUCAAGCCUGUGUGUUUGGAAAUGUCAGACUGGUGGUGCAUGACUGUCCCCUUUGGGAUAUUUUUGACAGCGACUGGUACACCUCUCAAAAUCUUAUUGGAGGAGCUGAUAUCAUUGUGAUUAAAUACUCUGUAAAUGACAAAUCUUCAUUUCAAGAAGUAAAGGACAGUUAUGUUCCAAUGAUAAAAAGAGCAUUAAAUCAUUGUUCAAUUCCAGUCAUAAUUUCUGCUGUUGGUGCAAGAAAAAAUGAAGUACCUUGUACUUGUCCACUGUGCACUUUAGACAGAGGGAGCUGUGUUACUGCUUCUGAAGGGAUUCAACUCGCUAAAGAACUAGGAGCAACUUACCUUGAAUUGCACAGUCUCAGUGAUUUCUAUAUAGGAAAAUAUUUUGGAGGAGUGUUGGAGUAUUUUAUGAUCCAAAGCUUGAAUCAGAAGUCCUCUGAAAAAAUGAAGAAAAGAAAAAAAAGCCACAAGUGCCAUGGAGUUAAACCGCCUCAGCUUGAACAGCCAGAAAAAAUGCCAAUCUUAAAAGGUGAAGCCUCGCAUUAUAACUCCGAUUUACAUAACUUGCUGAUCUGCUGCCAGUGUGUGGAUGUGAUAUUUUACUCAGAAGAUUUAAAGGAAGUAGUAGAAGCACACAAGAUUGUUUUGUGCUCUGUAAGCCAUGUCUUCAUGUUACUUUUCAAUGUGAAGAGUCCAGCUGAUAUUCAGGAUUCCUCUAUCAUAAGGACUGCACAGACUCUCUUUGCAGUGAACAGUGAGGCUGUGUUUCCAGUUUCUAACCGAGGUUCACCAUGCGGCCCACCGGUUCGAGUCACUGUUAAAGACUCUUUCUUCUGUUUUUGUUUGUCAGACAUUCUGCACUUCAUUUAUUCAGGUGCUUUCCAAUGGGAAUUGUUGGAAGAAGAUAUAAAAAAGAAGUUGAAAGACCCAGGAGAAGUUGAGCUUGUGCUUGAGAAAGUUAAAUGUAUCCUGAAAACUCCAGGAAAGGUGAAUAGUUCAAAGAAUUGCAGAUCUCAUCAGACAGCAAGACCCUUGCAGUUAUGUGAUACUUCUCUCAGACUUUUCUUUAACACACAUGUGUUGGCUGAUGUCCUCUUCCAAAUACAAGGUGCUACUGUACCAGCCCACAGAGCAGUUCUAGUGGCUCGCUGUGAAGUAAUGGCAGCUAUGUUUAAUGGAAGUUAUAUAGAAGCAAAUAGUUUUCUGGUUCCAGUUUAUGGGGUUUCCAAAGAUACUUUCCUCUCCUUUCUAGAGUAUCUGUAUACUGAUUCUUGUUGUCCAGCCAGUAUUUUGCAAGCCAUGUCUCUCUUGAUUUGUGCUGAGAUGUACCAGGUAUCCAGACUCCAGCAUAUCUGUGAGCUUUAUAUCAUCACACAGCUGCAGAGUAUGCCUAGUAGGGAAUUAGCAUCUACAAGUCUUAGCGUUGUCAGCUUGCUCAGAAAAGCCAAGUUUCACAACUCUGACUGCCUUUCAACCUGGCUCCUUCAUUUUAUUGCCACUAACUACCUCAUCUUCAGUCAAAAGCCUGAAUUUCAAGAUCUUUCAGUGGAAGAGCGCAAUUUUGUUGAGAUGCACAGAUGGCCUUCCCAUAUGUACUUGAAACAGCUUGCAGAUUACAGGAAUUACAUCAACUCCCAGAAAUGCCACUGCAUAGUAAUGUAACCAGAAGAUUGAUUAUUCAUAAACUGGAGAAUCACAGGCUGGGAAUUACAUGGAGGCUAUUAAAACUGUAGCAGGGAUGAAAAUAAACAUUUAAGUCCUGCUGUACUCUAUAAUGUGCUUGCUAAUACUCUUUUCAUUAGUAAUGAAUUAAUGUGAUGUUUUAAAGGGAUUAAGAAAUAUACCAUAGGACAGCAUAAGGAGUUAAUCAGGCCUGGUCUACACUACAAAGUUAGGCGGAUGUAAACCGCAUGUGCAUGUCUAUACCUAAAUUUGUCUCUUAUUGAUGUAAGUGCCCCGUUAACAGCAAUGCAGUAACACUACCUCCCUGAGCAGCAUUAAGCCAUGGUUGAUGUACUGAGGUCGACGCAACACAAGUGUAAACACUGCGUUACUUAUAUGAAUUCUAACAGUCCUCCAGCAGCUGUUCCACAGUGUCUGACGCUAAUCUCUUUGGUCACAAUUGUGAAUGCCAUUGUCCAGGGGUCAUGGAGACUGGAAGGCCCUCCCUCUGUUUUAAAGCCCUGCAAAUUUUUGAAAUGGCUUUGCUUGAUUGUCCAACUGGAGAGCACACCUAGCAGCUCUCCAUUGUGUGCAACUGUGCAGCUGGCCAUGGCGGCUACAUGCUCCAGACACACUCCAGCUUGGAGUAGACAAGAGAUAUUGGAUCCUCUGGGCCUGUGGGGAGAAGAGGCUGUGUAAGCACAGCUACGGACCAGCCAUAGAAAAGUAAACAUCUAUGAGCAGAUUGCACAGGGGAUGUCGGAGGAGGAGUACAACAGGGGCCAGCAGCAGUGCUUUGUGAAAGUGAAGGAAUUUGGUCAGCCAUAUCGAGAGGCCAACAAUCAUUCUGGUGCUAACCUGCAGACCUGCCACUUUUACAAAGAGCUGCAUGCCAUAAUUGUCAGAGACGCUACUGAUAUCCCGCACAUAACCAUGGAUACCUUUGAGGACCCCAAGCCACAGGUCCCUGGCAUGAACAGCUAGGAGGAGGAUGGGGGACGUGCGACCAGGGAGCCAGGACCUGUUUUGAGACUCCACCGCAGUCCAGUCAGUCCCAGCAGUUGAGCACUGGUGAGCUCAAUGCAGGGGAAGGAACUUUGGCUGCUGCCAUUGCGGCUCUGAGAGGUUCCCCCCUCCGCACCUGAGGAAAAAAGCCUGAGCUAGAUGAGGAGAAAGAGGAGGACUCGGGAUGACAUGUUCAAUGAGAUCCUGCAAGCCAGUGCUGCGUGAGACCGUGAGAAAAGGGUCUGGAGGGUGAACAUUACAGACAGCCUGGGGAAGAUAAAAACGGAGAAGAGAGAGGCCCAGGAGUCCCAGCAGGAAAAGGAGAGGGAGAUGCACCAAGACAUAAUGGAGCUUCUCCAACAGCAAACAGAGAUGCUGCAGACUCUUGUGGGCUUAGUUUCAACAAUCCCAGGUUCUCCUCCCUUUGCAGUCCAUGGCAAACUCCAUAACAGCACCUCCCUAUGCUCUCCCACCCUACAUUCCAUGUGGUAUCAGGGGCUUUAUCCCUAUCCCUCCCACUCCACCCCAGCAGACAUUAAGGACAACCACAGCCUCACAAACUGAUCUGUGAAAUCCAUGGUUGCUGUAUAUGUAGAUUAAUGGACAGGAAUGUUCUUUCCACUGGUUUUUCUGUUUCAUUAAUUUAUUAAGUUUUUAAUGUAUUUGCUUUUAAAUUGCACAGAUUUUUCUUUGCACUGGUUUUGCUAGUGAAUAACAUUCUAUUUGGAAAAUAAUCUUUUAGUUCACAACACAUGCUUCAGAGUGCCUAGCAAUUCUGAAAGCACCUACUUAAUUAUUACUGUACAGUGUGGCACAACUCAUAGGAUCAGUGACAAACCGCAUAUAAUCAUAAAUGUACAGCAAGCACAACAAAAUUAAGAGGACAUUGACAGUGCUAUAUUCAUAGAUGUACACUACACCAUUCCUAACAGGCCCCAAAACAGCAGGGCCAGGUAGAGCAGAGUACACCACACGGUACUGUGGCUCACUGUUAAAAUGGUCUUCAAAGCCUCUCUGAGCUGUAUGGUUUGGUGUUGAGCUCUUCUAAUGGCCCUUGUGUUUCGCUGUUCUAACUCAGCAGACUGCCAGUCCACUCUGGCGGAAACUUUUCCCCCUUUGCUUCCCUGAGAUUAUGCAGGACACAGCAGGCAGCUAUAACCAUUGGGAUGUCUUUUUUUUUUUUUUUCACUGAGAUCCAGUCUUGAGUAAACAACACAGGCAUCCCUUCAGUCUUCCAGAAGUACAUUCAACUGUCUUUCUGCACCUGCUAAGCCAAUAGCAAAAUCUUUCCAUGGUGCUGUUGGGGUGGCCAGUGUACGGCUUCAUGAGCCAGGGGAGACAAGGGGUAGGCUGGGUCUCCCAGGAUUGCUAUUGGUAUUUCAACAUCACCAGUGGUAAUCUGCCAGUUGGGAAAGAAAGUCCCUGCUUGUAGCUUUCUGAACAGUCCUAUAUUUUUAAAGAUGCAAGCAUCAUGCACAUUCCUUGACCAGCCAAAGUUGAUGCCAGUGAGGAGAUCCUAGUGAUCCACCAAUGCUUGCACAACUAUAGAAAAGUAGCCCUUUCUGUUGAUGUACUCUGUGGCAAGAUGGGCUUGUGCCAAAAUAGGGAUAUGUAUGCUAUCUUUGCUUCACCACAGUUCAGAAAUCCCUUUACUGAAAAUCCUUCCAGCAUGUCCUGCACGUUGCUGAGUCACAGUACUGUAUAGCAAGAGUUGAUUAGUAGCCUUGCACACUUGCAUGACAGUGGCCCCCUUAGUGGAUUUUCCAACUCCAAAAUAAUUUUGCACUUACCAGUAGCAAUCUGACACUGCAGGUUUCCACCGUGCAAUCACUACUCUCUUCUCCACCAUCAGUGCAGUUCUCAUUUUGAUGUCCCUAUAUUGGAGGGCUGAGGCAAGCUUGGCACACAGAUUCAGGAAUAUGGCCUUGCGCAGCCGAAAGUUCUGCAGCCGCUGCUCAUCAUCCUACGCCUACAUUAUGAUGUGAUCCUACCAGUCAGUGCUCAUUUCUUGGUUCCAGAAGUGGUGCUCUACCAGUUUGAACACCAGCAACAACCUUGAAUUUGUUCUUGCUAUGUCCCAGAGCAAUCUGUGCUCCAAGAUACUGUUGUGUUCCCUGCUUAUUCGUGGAUGUUAUGGCUCUGCAAACAUCGGAAGAUCAUGCGUCCUGUGCUUGCAACGCUUGUGACAAUAGUGCAGAGCUGUGCAAGUGCCAUGCUUCUGUCAGAAAUGGUGGACAGUGAGGAGGGCUGCAUAGGUUCAUGGGGAAAAAGGCAUGAAAAUUAUGGGAUAUAGAUAACAUUAUGGCAUGGAUUGAAUAAAAACAAUUGCAAACUGGCCCAUUGCCCCCAGUCACUGCUCUUGAUGUGUUUCUGCCCCACCAUACAUUGCCAAAACAUCCUAAAAGACAGUGAAUUGGACAAUAGUGGGUUGCACUGAGAUACCUACCCUGCAUUGACACCAGCACUCGUGAGUUUGUGUAAUACUUACACAAGCAGCCAAGUAUGCAUACACAUGAGUGAUGUACUAACAAUGGUGGCUUUAUGCUGAUGUAACUUGCGUCAACCAAAGUUUGCAGUGUAGACAUGGUCUCUGUUGUUUAGCUGCAACCUGUUUUCCCUAAGGAUUCUUUGCUGCAAUACUGGUGGUUUCAACUUAUAGAUGAGGUGUUGAAAACAUUUUAACUGCAUAAGUUGCCCUUACAAUCAUGUGAACUGGUAUUUUCUCUCUAGCUAGGUGCUUAUAUGGCCCCAUCGUUGUACUGUCUGAGCGCCUCCUGUGUAUUUAAAAAUAGAAAUAACAAUCUUCCCAACCUGUAGGAGAAAAAGCUGGUUUAAUUUCUAGGGGUGUGUGUGUGUGUGUGUGUGUGUGUGUGUGUGGAAAUUAAGGGAAAGUAAAGGCAAAGAAGAAAUUUGUAUUCAAUUGUGAAAGGUAUGAAGUCAACAGUCAUCCUUAUCUGUUGCAGGAGAAAAUUCCAUAGCAUAGGAAACUUUCCUGAGAAAGUUCUGUCUCCCACAGUCAAACUUCCCCCCUCUUGGUUGACAGUUAAAUCAUUUCAGCUGAACCCAACUGCCAAGGGGAUCAUAUUCACAAAGAAAGAGGUAGCCAUGGCCAGUUCUAUGGAGAACUUUGACUACCAGAACAAACCUAGAACUCAACUCUGUUCAACCGUAAGCCUUUGCAGAGAGCGCAUUAGCCCAGUGUAUUCAUGGUGACCUGUGUUUCUGAGCAGUUGGGUUGCUCCAUGUUGUACUAAUUGGAUUGGUUCAGGUUGUGUGGAUUCAUUUUUUGAUAUGAGCCAAAAUAAUUAAGCCUGGAGAUCUUAAAUAGGAUCACCAUAGUUUUGUGCGAUAUUUUGGUGAGGCAUAGAUGAGUGAGUGGCUUUUUUUCAACUAUUGAUGUAUAGACAUUCAAUAGCACUGAGUCUAAAAGGAGCCCCAGGCUCAGACCAUCUUAACAAUUGAAGGAUAGAGGUCUACAAUAGCAGGAAUUUUAUGCAGGAAGCAAGUUCUUCAAAGUGGUUCCCUCUGCCUAUCAGCAAAACCACAAUCUUAUUUAGGGUCAGCUUUAGCCAACUGUUCUUGUAUUGUAGGGAGUGGUGUGUGUAAUAUGUCAGUGUUUGGUCCUAGAGGGACAAUGUAAAAAAAAAGGAAGAUUAAUGAAAAGGUUACUUAGUCCUGAAAACAAGGCAGGAUGAACCAUUUUAAAGGCACCUGCAGAAAAAUUUGCUGCCAGGCGAAGGUGAGACCCACCAUAUUAACUAGUAUCUAUACUAUUCUGUUAAUAAAGAGGAGGAGUUUUUGUAUCUCUACACAGUUAUUCUUUUGGGAAUUACACACUAGAACGAUAAGGGAUUUUCUUCUGGUGCAGUUUUAGAGGUCCAGAUAGCGUUCCCUAUUUUGGGACAAAAAUAAUGGUACUCCGCUGGCUCCAGAUAUCGAAGGUUAGCUCAGUUAGGAAUGUUAAUUAAUAGUAUUUAUAUAUAGCUUUGUGUCUGAAGAUCUAAGAGAGCUUAACAAAUGUGAGCAGCAUUAUUAUCUUUGUUUCACAGAUGAGGAAGACCGAAACAGCGAGUGGUUGAGAUUUGUUCAAGAUCAGAUUGCUAGUCAGUGACAGAACUUGGAAUAGCACAUUGUCUCCGGCAAGGAAUAAAACAGAUGAGUCUGCUACCAUGGAGAAAGAGAUGUUAAAGGUGGAAUAAAAAUGGUCAUACAUUAAAGUGGAAACAAAAUAUGCAUAUAAUUGAAAAAAAAAGUAAAAAAGAUUUAACUACCUCCCUAUUUCCUAAUGUUUGUAUCUGUUGCAGUAGAAAUUAAAAAUUCUAGAUGUAGAUCAGCUGGAUGAAUGACAAAUUUUGAAGUUUUGAAAGCUUAAGGCCAUCAGCAAAAAUGAGUACAGAAUUGUAAGUCUAAUUUGCAUGAACAAUUACUUAACAUGCUCUGUCACAGAAUCUGCACCUACAACUGGCCAGUUUAAUCAUUUAACUUGUGUUUGUAUGCACAAAUACUAAAUUCAUGUGUGCAGUCAUGGUAAUUACAUAUACAAAUUGUGUGUGUGAAUGUUUGCCCAUAUUGCAUGUGGCCCUAGGUGUUUAAUAUUUUGAAAAUCUGAUUUGCUACGUUAGAAUUUCUUGCCAGUAACUCAAUGUAGUGGGAUAUUUAUUUUCAUGAAGGAGAUUUCAUAAAUCCUUUUUCCCAUUAAUAGCUUUAAAAAAAAAAAAAAAGUAAAAUGGAAAUAUGAACUGUUUCUGUGGACCAGAAAAUAUUUUAUGGUAUUGUCUAUUUAUUUUAGUCUUUUGUGUUAAUCAUCCACAAACACUUUAUAUAGUGAGGCCAAGCAAUGUGAGGAGACAUUUAUCCAUAGAUUUAUAACUUGCUAAUUACUCAAACACAAAAUAUCUUUCCAUUCUUCGCAGGUGUCCCUAUUAUGUUACCUAUAUCAGGUGGAGACACUAGGUCAAACCCAGAAUGCUGUGAUAAUUUGAGAAAAUGAGUGAUUUCUCCACACAAACAGAAUAACAAAUGGAUGCUUUUCUUUAGAAAUGUGCUUUUUUAAUUUAAAAUCUAUGCCUUAGAUAUAGGUUUUGCUAACGCUAUCUCGUUACUUAGGUACAAUUCAGAAAUCCAUAUAUGAUAUUCAGAAGUUAGUCAAAGCACCACUGAAUUUGAUCUAUGUGACUUUACAUGUAUAUUUUUGCAUUGAUUUAAAUUAAAAAUUAGGAAGUUCCUGAAAACUUGAUUCAAACAAUUAAAAGAUCUGAAAAUAUUAAAAUAGCUUAGAAAAGGAAAACCAGUACAUUAGUUUAGGAAAGUAACUCUCUUUGGGUUUUGUAUCGGCAAUCAAGUCCAUUUUUAAGAGAGCUGUUCUGCUAAUAACUUGCUCUUUUCUUCUGAAGUACGAUCAUCACUUCUUAUCAGUUUAAUGUAUGGUAUAGUAGUAUUCAAGGAUCUAUUCUUUUAUAACUGCUUUGAAUUCAUAUUGAGAGACUAGACCUCUACCUUGUUAGUGAAUCCUGUUAACAACAUUGUUACACACCUUUUUUCCAUGUUUGUUUAUGAUACAUGUACACUUACAUCAAGCCAGUAUGGAGGCUUAUAUUGAGGCUAACAUAGGAAGUCGUCUGUCUUAAGAAACAUUAAUUUCCACAGGACAGAGUGUCUCUGCUGUAGUCUUUAAAUCUUGGUGAACAAGGUAAGAAUGUUUAGGAGAAAAUAACUUAUUUUACCAAGGCAUGUGCUGAAAUUCAGCUUUUGAUAUUUUCAUAAGUUAUGGAAUGGUAUUUUCUCUUUGACUAAAAUUUACAAUUUAUAGAUUUAGUAUUUAAACACUUUGUAACAAAACAAUAAACAUUUUUACUGCAUCUCAA